GACGAACCGUGCGAACGUUAUUCGGAAUCACUGGGCUUAAAGCGCGUGUAGGCGGGUCGGCGCGUCGGCCGCUGAAAUCCCCCGGCUCAACCGGGGAAGGGGCGCCGAGACGGCCGGCCUGGAGGGACGUAGGGGGGGCUGGAACUUCCGGUGGAGCGGUGAAAUGCGUUGAGAUCGGAAGGAACGCCCGUGGCGAAGGCAAUCCCCUGGACCUGUACUGACGCUCAUGCACGAAAGCGUGGGGAGCAAACAGG
rnacentral:rRNA from 1 species